UGACUAGCACAGUGUAAGGUAACUUUGGAGAGAUUAAGCCAUUUUUUGAGCCCCAGUCAGACUCAGAUUCAGCUGAGGAGUCUCUUUUGCACCAAAACCGACAGCUGACAUAUGAGAAUGGCCCUUGACAGCUUUUUUUGGGCCUGUUCAGCACAUUGAAUGGGAGAUGGCAGAGCCAGCGAACCAGUGAGGCAAGCAAAGAAACUUUUUAUGUGAGCACCUGGCAGUCACCACAGAUGUACUGUACAGCACAGUUGUCACCGCUCUUCCAUGCCCCGAGGACGCUAUAACUCAGGAGGUGAUCAGUUUUAUCAGCGCUGUCGUGAGCCACCAACAAAGGCCCAUUAAGGACGAUGACAUGGAAGACGUGCCGCUUGGUGCUGAUUAGGAGGCUUUAUCAUCUGUUACUCAGUCCCACCCCUCUUGUCGGUGAGUCACUACCCAAAGGUAGUAAAGAGGGUUAGGUCUGCUGCUGGCUGUCUGCCCAGCGUCUCCUGAGACAGCAGGGAAAUGUAGUUCUCUGGGACUAAAGAGCAGAGUUCCUCCAAAGGCCAUCCCCUCUGCCCUCAUCCUCUGGGACAAUGGGUCGACAGUGGCAGCCUGUCACUAAGGAACAAAAUUUCUACCUUAAACAGGAAAAUCACUGUCUUUCUGCUCCCUGACUCUGUCGUUCAUGACUGGCUGCCUUAAAAACAACUUUAUUCUACAGCACAGUUUCUUUUCUGCUUUGCCCUCAAAAUUUGGUGGUUAAGGAGAGGCAGGUCUCCCCCUGUAGAAACCAAAAAAAGUUAAGCCCCCCACCCCUAACCAGACAAUAUUUUUUUAUCGAUCAUUGACAAUAACUGGGAAGCAUCUAACAAAAAGGGAUCCAUGUUGAAUAUUAUUGAAGUAAAGGGCAACCCAAUCAGCAUCAGCAACAUGAGCAGACUCUUUUUGGUUUAAAUUCUCUACAUAAAUCACACUGAGUCAGCUUUGAAUAUUUUCCCCUGGUCAUCCACACCCCACCUGCAGUGGCUUGAAAUUGAUUGUCGUCGGGCUGAAAAGAUUCCAAGAUUGCCCCUUAACAGAGAGGGCAUCCAUCUCUUUUUAGCUUCAGCCAGAGCAGCGGGUUAGAGUUGUCCACUUUUGGCGACUUUCCAAUGGCUCUUACUAGCAGGCAGAUCCAAGAAAGAAACACUGUUUGCAUCUUUAAAUCUUUUGACUUUUACCCUCCACCUUUUGCUCUGCAUCAAGGAUCAGCAGGGAGUCUCACGUCUUAAACAGAAAGUUUCAUGUGUUCAGGUCAUUCUCCAGGUUACUGUGGUUGUAUACUGUACAUGUGUUUCUCACCCUCGUGGUAAUAUCAUGUAAUGUGCUGCAUUGACACUAACCUUGUGUUAGACAUCUGUUCAACACUGCCUUCUGUAUGUCAGCUAGGAUGGAUAAGGUGUUUCAAUCAGGCCUGAGUGGGUUAUCGCUGACCUAUGGCUUAAGAGAUGUCGCCUUGCAUAUUGAAACCAUGGUUCCAUGGACACAGGCCGCGCCCUCUCACCUCCUCCCACUGACAUUCUUAUAGAUGCCGAGGAAUUCAUGCACAAGGAAUACAGAGAAGCUAGCUCUGACAGUACAUGGAGCCAGCUGCAAUCUCACUGGCUAGGAUUUUUUUGACACAUAGAUAAUGGCUCAUUUUUAACAUGCACAAAAUAGUCAGUUAUCAAAAUGAGUAUUCCACUAAUACUGAAUUACAUUUCUAUAAUACUGCAUACAUGUAGCUGUGCAUACUCUCAUUAACACGACCAAACAUGUUGUUUACCAUAUCAAAAUAUGGUACAACAGUUGGA